rnacentral:lncRNA from 1 species
CUCCAUCAGCCGGUUGUUGCCAGAAGAUGAAGGAACAAGCACCAUGCUAUUGCGAGUACAUGAAGAUAGAAGAUGUCAAACGUGUUUUUGACAGAGUUGAGAUUGCGAAAAUGGCUAAAUUGUGUGGAGUUUCAUAUUCUUCCACCUGUUAGAAUCACGUUUGGUUUCAUAUGACUAUCUCUGGCUGGGAUAAUGUGGCAUCUCAAUAAAUAAAAAUUUUAUUUGAAAACUAAUUUACUCAUAAUUUCAACUAUAAUUUACCUAUGUUCUUUUUUUUUUUGGAAUGAUACUGGUGAUUUUCUAUUAUUUACCUUUAUUGUCUUGAUUCAUGUUACAUAUGUGCUAAAAGAACUACACAAUGAUCUAGAUUUUGUUUGAACCGUACUGGAUUGGUUGGAUUGGAAACUGGUUUUGAUACUAGUAUAAUUACAGGGGUUAGAUUGGUUGACCCACGAACCAAUAGAGACUAGUUGAAUCGAUUUUCUCUAUUUCUUAAAAAUUAUUUUUAUAUUUAUUUGAAUUUUUAAAUAAUUUAUUUAAUAAAACUGGACGAAUUGGUCGAAAUGAAAAAUAGUUAUUUAACUGAUUCGACCAUCAGUCCAGUUCUGAAAACAUUGUUAUAGUUAAAAAAAGAAAAAGAAAUGGGUAGGGUAGAUCAAAUUAUUAAAUUAUAAACAUAUAUGUUAUUCGAAUAUUUAUUUGGGUAAAGCACACUUGUAGUCACUCAACUAUUAGUAAAUUUCUCUUUUAUGCUCUGAAUUAUGAAAAUUUACAAAAUGAUCACUCAAUUAUUCAAUUUUCUCUUUUUUGAUCUCUUGUUAGCUAGACUUGUUAAUUGGCCGGGUUACCUUACCAGGCAUGUAACAACCCAUUUUUCAGUGGUGUCAGAAACAAUGGUUUCGGGACCACAAAUUCGAUGAGUAAGUCUAUAUAUUUAUUAUUUAAUAUUUAUGAGUCAGUUUCAAUAUUAUAUUGAAUUUGUGAUUAAUAAUUUUUAUAAAUUGAACGAAUAGAUAAGUAAAAGUGGUUUAAUCCAAAGUCAAGUGGUUAUUGAAAAUGAGACGUUGGGACCUCAUUUCCGUAAUUUAAGGUCGUAAAUAUUUUUAUUAAAUAUUUAUGGACUCUUAUUAUAGGUGAAUUUAAGUUUGGUUCGGUAAUUUUGACGAUUGAUUUCUUAAUUAAGGAAAGAGAAUUAAAUUGUAAAAAAGGUAAAAAUUACCCAUUAUAGAUUUUAAAUUACCAAAGGGAUUAACAUGGAAAUUAGACCAUUGCCAAAAGUCCAAGCGGUGGUGGAUGGUAAUCAUUCCACUAACCUUUGGGAUAUUUGUUCAUUAGGUCCUAAUUAGGUUAAGGUUAAGUUGAAAUAAAGUUGUUUGAUUUGAUUUAAUAUAAUUGAAGGACCAAUUGUGCAAUUGGACUUUUCUUAAAUGGCCAAACGGUAGGAAGGAUAUGAAAUUCUCUAGUUUUGUGAUUAAUUGCUAUUAGAUCCUUAUUAUUUAGUAAUGAAUUAAAAAGGACUAAAUCAUAAAGAAUGAAAAAGUUAAGUUUUAUUAAUUGGAAAUGUAAAUUAGAUGGACCUAGACGGUAAUUAUGUCAUAUAUAUUUGAUGGAAAAUUAUGAACAUGUGUUAGAGAUAUUAUAAGUAUAAUUUAAAGGUUAAUUUUGUAAAUAAGUAAAUAGGUUAAUGAAAAAUAAAAGAUAACUAAAUUUAAAAAGCUAUCAUCUUUUUAUCCAUUCAAGAAAACUGAAAACACCAUUUUUAGAGGAGAAACAAGUUCGUCCAACUAGGGUUCUUCCAUUUAAGAGCUAAACCUUGCUCAUUGUUAGUAUUUUUUUAUGUUUUUAAGUUUAUUUUAGCUUGAUCUAGCUAACUUAAGGUCUAAUUUGUAAAAUUGUUAAACGUUGUAGAUUAUGCCAUUGAUGAUUUAGUGUGUUCUUGAAGUUUAAUGGUAUAUUAUUAACCUUGGUUGUUAAAUAAGACUAUUUUGUAAAGUAUUUUUUUUUGUAAUUUUAAUGUUAAAGGACCAAAAUGUUAAAGUGAUAAAAUUACAAGGACUUGACGUGAAAUAAUAGCAAGUUUGAGUUUUAAUGUAAUAGAAUGCGAUUCGGUUUGAUUUGGAUUUGGUUAAAAUUGGUUAAAUAGCAAGUUUGGAGCUUAGAGACUAAAUUAUAUAAAAGUAAAAUAUUGGAGGUAAUUUUGUGAAAAUGUCAAAAAUGACUUAGUUGCAUAUAAUAGUUAAUUAUGUUGCUAGAAAUUGAUAAUUGAAUGAAAUUAUUAUUUAGAUUGUGAAUGAAUUGAAAAUCGAAGAAAAGAGAAAGUUGCUGAAUAGUCCUUGAACUUUUGUCAUUUCUGCAGUUUAGCUCUGGUAAGUUCAUUUAAUAUGAAAUAAAUUAUAUUUCUAAUUGUUUAUGAAUGUUAGAGCUUAAAUGAUAUAAAAUUACUAAUAUUUAAAUUGAUUUAUUUAUAGAACUGAAACUGUAAAAAGUUACGAAAAUGGUAUUUUUUUAUAUCAAUGGAGACAAGCUAUAUUCGUAUGUAAGACCAUAACAAGGCUAUGAAAAUUAUAAACGUAAGACCAUAGUGAGAGCACAAUAUGAAACGUGUAUUGGGGUUUCAAUCGUCUUUACAAUAUUCAUCAUAUGGAAAUAAAUGAGGAUCUAAAUGUGACUUGAUGUGUGAAACGAUAAGUGGUUUGUAAUAGUUAUACGUGUAAAGGUAGUAAAUGUUGUAUUAUCAUUAUAUGUUAAAGCGAUUAUGCAUUGUGAUAGUAAGAAAUGCGAAUGUUGUUGAAAUGUGGAAAUUUGAUUUGAACUAAUGUUUGAGCAUUACUCACUUGCUGUAAGCUGUGAUUGACAAGAAUUCUGAUAAUAACCUUGUUGACAGUAACUCUAUUCAUUUAUCUUGUUAUUUGAAUUAUUUUGUUUAAUUUAGUAAGUUUUAUUGUUUAAUUGACGAACUUACUAAGCUUUAUGUAAGCUUAAUCGUUUCCUUGUCUUUUUCUUUGUAGAUUAUAUUUUAUGGAAAUCGGGAGAUCGAAUCAACUCAAAGAAUCACACUACCUGAAGACCUUUUUGGUAGAUUUUGAAUUCAAUUUGGCUUAUAUGGCAUGUAAUAGGAAAAUUUUAUUAUGUUUUGUAAUGGCUCCUAACUACUUAUAUUGUACAGUUGUUGUGUAUGUAAGGUUGUGGCUUGAAUAACUUUGUUAGACAUGCAUGCUUAAUUCUAAACUUAAGCAUAAUGGAUAAACAUGGAAUGAUAAGUUGGCAUGAAUUAGAUAUGGUAAGUUGGGACUGAAUUUGAGUGUGUUUGUGGUUUGUGUAUAUUUGCUAAGGUAAUGAGAUCAUAGGGUUGGACUUGUGGUGUCUUUGUUGACACAUUAGGUUAGGUCUUGGCUGAAUGAUUUAGCAUGUUUUGGAUGUUCUCAAAUGUGUUUUGAAGUCUUGUGAUCAUGUGUUAUAAAAUGGUUUAGGUACCUAAGCAUUUAGAUGUGAAAAGUGCAUGUUUUGGGUCAUUUUUGGGCACACACGGCCCGAGACACAGGUUGUCACAUGAUCCUGUAUCACACAUGGGCAACCUACACAGGUGUAUGCUCCGAGUGUGUUAGGUGCAGGGUUCACACGGGCUGGCACACGGAGGAGUCACUGACAUGUGAGCCAAGUUAGUGAGUUACACAAGUGGAUACACAUGUGAGCACAUGGACGUAUGGAGUAGCCACACAAGCGUGUGGGAUAGCCACAUAGCCAUGUCUAGAGGCACACGAUUUAGAUUCUGUCACACGUCUUAGACACACGACCGUGUGACCCUUGUUUGAAAAUUUUUCAAUUUUUCUCUGAACUUCUUGAUUUGAUUUGAAUUGGUCCCUAAUUGUUCCUAAUAUAUUUUUAAAGCCUCUUAGGCUCGAUUUAAGCUCCAUAAAUAUAUGUUUAUUUCAUUCUGAAUUAUAUAUGUAUUUUCAAAAUUGAUAUGAUUAUUAGAUGUUAAUUGUUAUGAGAUGUUCCGAAUUGUACGAUAAUACUCUGUAACCCUAUUCUGAUGAUGAAAACGGUUUAUGGGUAUUAUAUUAAGUGGUAUUAGAACCACAAUUUAGUCGAUUCUUAGAAUGAACGUAGCGUGUUCGAAGUCUAGAAAUUACAUGCCAUAUAAACUAGUGAUAGUGUGAUAUGGAUUGAUCCGAUCUAACACCUAUUUUAUUGUAGAUUAUAAAGAUGUCAUCUGAAUCUGAUCGUGACGAAACUAAUGAAGUUAAUAGUAACAUUUCGACUUUUGAUUCUGGUGCAAGUCAUAGUAUACAGGUUCCACAAAUGCCUGAAAAUGAGGUUAAGAAUAUUUUCUUAUAGAUCUAAUGAAUGUUAAUAGAAUCUGACCAUACUGAACUUGAUGAGGUAAAUGGUAAUAUUCCAACUUAUAAAUAAGAGGUAAUGUAAUGACCCAAAAUCCACAUGCACCGGAAAAGUGAGUUAUAGGGCCCCCGUCUUAGUGAAAUAAGUUCGAAAUAAUUAUAAAAAUAUUUAUGAGCCUAGUGAUGUGUCUAAUUAGGAUUUAAUUAGGUGAAAUUAACUUAAUUUAGAAUAAUUAGCAAAAAGAACUAAAUUGAAAAAGGGGUAAAAGUUUAAUUCUAAAGUAAUAGAAAAUAAAAAGGAUCAAAAUGGCAAUUAAGCCAUUUACAUAAAUUGAGGCGGCAAAUGGAAGAAAAAUCAAGAUUUUUCUUGAAUAUAUGUAUUAUAUAUUUAUAAUAUUAAAAUUAUUAUUAUUAUGGUUUUAUAAUUAUUAUGAUUAUUUAAUGAAUAUUAUAUUUUAAAUAAAUUAAAUAGUUGAUAAAUAUAUGGUAAUAAAAUUUACAUGUGUAAAAAUUAUUUUGGUACAUUUGUAAUUUAAAUACUAAAUUACUUAUAAUUUAAGUAAAAAGAUAUUUGUUAACUAAAUAAUUAAAAUUUUAAAUUAUGAGAUUUUUGUUUGAGAAACAAAUUAAAUAAUGACAAAUGUAAUAAAAUUAUUGGUACAAAUGUAGAAUUAAAUAUGUGUACAAUUGUAAAAUAUGUAAAUGAUGUUAAAAUAGAUAUUUAAAAUAAAUAUAUUAUAAUAUAUGCUAAUUAAAUAAGUAAAGCAAAUAAAUAUAAAAGAGAAAUAAAGAAACAAAAGGGAAUAGAAAUAGAAUUGAAAACGGGAAGCAGGGGAGAAAAAGAGAAAGAAAAAGGGCAAGAAAAAUAAAAGAGAAAACUAAGGAUUUGAAGCUUGGAGUUAAUUUGGAAAGUCAAUUAAGUCCUUUUUAGUUAAUCUUGAUGUUUUAGAAGCUUUGAAACAAGAUUUUGAUGAAAUUAAGUUGAUAGUUCAAGAGUUCAUAUGUUUCCAAAUAUGGUUCAUGUUGGACAAAUUAUGGAAUUAGGGAUUUAAUUGAAUGAAUUCUAAGUUAGAAUUGAUUAAGGGAUUAAAUUGUAAACUAGGCUAUAAGUUUUAUGUUGUAGGGACUAAAUUGAAUAAAUUUCGAAAUUAGGGAAAUAUGCAGGAAAUUUUAUAGUUAAAUAUAAGUUUAGACUAAAUUUAAAUAGAAAAAGAGAGUGAAUUGGAUUAAGAAAAUAAUUAAGUUUAGUUAGGAUUAAAUUGGGAAUAAGGUAGGAAUUGUUUAGAAAUUUAAUUAUUUAUUAUAAUUAAUGCUGUAAAUAAUAAUGUAAAUUACUAUUAUUUUCGUAGCCAACAAAGAACCUGAAGCAUCAGCAUCAAAAGGAAAGGAGAAAGUCAUCGAGGACUAAAACGGGAGAAUUACGGUGUGUAUUACUAUAAUUCGAAUUUUAAUUAUUAUUGAUUGCUGAAUUUUUAAUUGUUAUGUAUGGUAAGUAAGACUUGAGGUAAGUAAGUGAAAUUGAUAUGAAUAUUGAGUGAAAAUGAAAGUGAUGCAUAUUGAAUUAAAUUGAAUAGAAUAAGUGAAUUAUGGAAUAUGUGAUUAUUUGAAAAGUGUAUUGAUUGAAAAAUGAAUGGUGAUUUGAAUUGUGAAUUGAAAGUGAUAGAAUUGAGAAAGUGAAUUGAAUACCCUAUUAACUAGUCGGGCUGAGUCGGAUAUAGUUGGCAUGCCAUAGGAUUAGAAGUGUUCAGGGAUGCUUCGACCUCAAGUCGAUGAGACACUGGGUGUCACUAAAUUUCUUCGGAUAGAUUCGAUGAGGUACUGGGUACCAACUUUACUUCGGCUAGGCUGAUGAGACACUGGGUGUCAACUAUUACUUCGAACUAUCCGAUGAGGCACUGGGUGCCAUAUUGGUGUGUUUGAUUGGAUCCAUGUAUCCGCCAAAGUCCGAGUUACGUUAAUAGGGUGAAAAAUUGAAAUGUGAAUUUAAGGCAUUGAAAAAAAAAAGGAAAUUGAAUUAUGAAUAGAAAUUGGAAUUGUGAUAGAAAGAGAAAAGUAUGAGCUAAAUGUUCGUAAGUGGUUUAAAUUCAAGUUUGUGAAAAAUACAUUAAUUGACGAAUAAUUAAAUUGAAUUGUUAUUAUGAAAUGAUGAAAAUAAAAAUAAAAAUAAAGUAUGAAUUAGUAUUUAAGAAAUUAAUUGUUAUGUAUUUUAAUAUUUAUAUUUUUAUUAUUGAUGAUAUAUUUUGAAUUAUGGUAAUACCACUGAGUAUAUCCAUACUCAGCGUAAGGUUGUUUCUGUGCGCAGGUUAGUAGAAGUCAAGUGUCCCGGCUCAGCAUCCAGAACUAUCCCGACUCCAACACAAAUUUGGUGAUGUAUAUUUUUCUUUUGGGUAAAGGUGGCAUGUACGUAGGUGUUGUUUAGUCACUUGAAUAUGUAUAUUACUUUGGGUAGUGAAGGAUGAAUUAUAAGAUUUAGAUGGUUAAAUGAAUGAAGUAUUUAAUCAAUUUAGAAUGAUGCUAUGAUAGUUAUUAAGUUAAAAAUUAUGUUAAUGAUAUAAAUAUUAGUUAUAUGAAUGUGAAACAUUGGUGUUGGUUGUUUUGGUUUGAAUUUGCAGGGGUUUUAGGUAAAAAUAAGCAGAAAUGCUGCCGAAUUUUUUUUUAUAAAAAAAAAAUUCCCGGAAUACUCGAACAAGUCCCGUUCUACUUUUAAUACGUGUUUGAACUUCGAGAGUCCAAUAUAGGGACUUAAUUAUUAUAUUAUACUAUGAAAGUUAUAUUAAUUGUAAAUUAUUCGUAAGUUGUCUAAUAUGUCCGGUAAUGCCUCAUAACCUCGUUCCGGCGACGGUUUGGGGUUAGGGGGUGUUACAGGUAAAUUAUAGUUUAUCGGUUUUGUAAAUGUCAGAUAGUGAAGUCAAAAUGUCAUUUCAACUUAAUGAGUCAGUAGUUCACAGAAAUAGCUUGAGCCAAUUCAGAGGCUCUACAAUUUCUACCUCUUUUCGAGCAUCCCGUGGUAACUUUGAGUCUUCAACUGACUAAAAUAGUUCGAAGACUCUUGUGUAAAUAAUUAAAUAGUAUAGUGAUGAAGACUUCAAAAGUAAAAUAGAUGAAGAUUCUAUUAACCAACAAAUUGGAGAGAUUAAUUAAAACUGAAAUUAACUAAAUUAAUUAACUAAAGAACACGACAAAGAAUGAAUUAGGAAAACAAAUGAUUAACAACCAACAAAGAAAAUAAUACCCAGGAAAGAAUCCUCCUAGAUUUCAUCUGUCAUUAUCAAUCUGAAUUAAACAAUUUCUUCACUUUCUAUCUUGAUCUGUAGAAAUCCCUAAAUUAUGUUAAUAUCUCUUUCGAGAGUAAGAGCAACUGACUUUAGGUUAAUUAAUUGAAAUUUAUUUCCAAUUAAAACCCAUAUUAUCACAUUAACUCGAUCUAUUGAUCCCCCUAUUAGAUUUAACUCUAAUGUGGUAGAUUUAUGUCAUCCUAUUUCUAGGAUUGCAUGCAAUUCCACUCAAUAAUGCUAGAUCUACUCUUAAACAGAAACUUUUUCUCCUCUGAUUUAGAAAUAUCAAACCAAUAAUUAAGCACAAAUAAUUGAGAACAAGAUCUAAGUAUUUAUUGUGUAGAAUAGAAGUCAAACAACAUAAUUCAUCAUAUGGUUUAUUUCCCCUAGGUAUUUAGAAAAUUAGUUCAUAAUCACAAAUAAAAGCAUCCAGAAGACAGUAUAACCACAAGAAAUAAGAAAACCCAUAAUAAACUUCAAAGGAAUCAAGAGGAGAUCUUCAAUAUUGAUGGAAAUUUGCUUUAGAGUCGGCUUCAAUGGUGUUUUUUAAGUUGUUUUCUUGAGUAUUCUAUGAUGGCUCACUCCCUUCUUUUUAUAUUAGGUAUAUAUAGGUUUUAAAAUACCCGAAAAACCUAAAAUUAAGUUUUUUUUUGCAUUUCUAGAGUGCAUUUUGCAAUUUCCACACCGUUUGGCACACGACCAUAUGGCUCACACAGCCGUGUGUCCAGUUCGUAUGGAAUGGCUCAGCCAUUGUGGCUUCUGAAACUUGCUCUUAUUUUUUGAUUUUCUCUCGUUGUUUAGUCAUUUUGCUCCCAAAUACUCUCCUAAGUAUAGAAACAUGAAUUUAAAGGAUUAUGAGCAUAAAAUUCACCAUUUUAAAUAGAAUAAUCAUCCAAAAACGCAUUAAGAAUGAGGCAAAAACAUGUUACUUUUGGCAUUUGUCAAAUAUCCCCACAUUUAAGCAUUUGCUUGUCCUCAAGCAAAAUCCUCAACCCACAUUCAAAUUAACUGUUCUCAAGUUGUCAUUUUCAUCAAUAAUGUUUCAAGAUAAUUCGCAAACAAUCAUGCAUUGGAAAUUCAACCAAAAGGACACUAAAGAUUCAAGCAGUCCAAACCAUAACCAUAAAGUUAUCUCGCCUUAUCUAAAUAAUUAUCUUAAGGUUCAAAUAUUGUGCACUCAAUAUUCGAAAGAGAAAUGCCAUUACCAUAAAAUUGCUUAAAAAUCAAAUCUCCACCACUAUAGAAUGAGAUGACACACCAAUCAAUAGGUCUUUUCAAGGUUGUAAUGGGGCUUAGGUUAAGGGUAUGGAAAAGGUCAGAAAAGUCGGUUAUAAUCAAGAUCGAGUUAAUAAAUUAUCAAACUAGAAAAACAAUCAAUUGCUAAAUUAAAAGAACUUACAUCAAAAAGAAUAAGCACAAAUGGAAACGAGCUUUUCGACAGAAUAUGAAACUAAUUAUUCAAGCUAAAUAUAAAAUUUAUGUUUUUUCUUUUCGAUUUUUUUGAGAAAUAAGAAAUAAAAUUCAACAAUUUAAAAAAAAAUGAAAUAUUGUUCUCGACAAAAAGGGAGUCAAUAAAAAGAAUACAUUUACAACAUAGAUUUGGGUUAAGGGUUAACAUUAAUAGGUUAAUAAAAAAAAAUUUAGGAUCAAUGAGGUUUACUAGGGGUUAACACAACAAUUAAGGUGGUUAAAUGAGUUAAAUCCUAAGUAUCUCUAUCAUCUCAAUAUAUUAAAUCAAUAAUAUGGUCUAAACAUGUAUAAUAUAAGAAAGUUCUAGAAUAACAAAUGAAGUUGACAUACUUUCAACCAAAAAUAAAAUGAGCACGAAUAAAUAUAAGCUCUAUAGGCUCAAAGGCUCACAAAAAAUUAAGGUUUUGAUGUCAAACUUGCAAUUUCAGAGUUUCAAGACAAUAAUUCAAUUCAAGAAAGCAACCUAAAAUAUUUAUUUAUGAAAAAUUAACUUAUCAUGCUUGACUCUCUCGUGCCUUAAAGUAUAAAUCACACAAUGCAUAUAAAUCCACAAAUUAAUCCAAAACAACAUCAAUAAAAAUUUCAAAUAAAACAAUUCACUCUAACAGACAACCUUCUCAGACUUAAGAUGUAUAUUAUCCUUCAUGUACAAAUAGAUAUAAGCACAGAAUAAGACAAUAUCAAAAGAGAGGGAGAACUAAAACUAGCCUGAAUAUGGAUGAAUUUGCCAUAAUAGUGAAAAGCAGAAUCGUAAGCGAGUCUAAAUGCGGUGCAUGUUUCCAAGUAAACUAAUAAGAAAAUUAACAAAAAUAAAUAAGAAGGUAAAGAGAUUACAAACUUGAACAAAACAACCAUCAAAAUAAUAAAAAUAACAGCAUAGUUCAAAAUAUAAAUAAAAUAAAUUAGUCUCACAAAAAAUACAACAAUUAAAAAUAAAAGUACAAUUGAAAAUAAAAUAAAUAAAGCAAAAAAAAUGAAAAAAAAUUAGUGAUCAUCAUCGUGAGAGGCAUCAGGAUCACACGAAACAUAAGCAGAAUGGGAGAUAUGCAGGUGUUGGUGAAUCAAUGUAAAGCCGCGUCAAUGUUGUCGAACCAUGCUGACUGUUACUUGACAUGCUCAUAAUGUAACCGUUCGAGGCGAUUUAGCUGAUGUGAAAUAUUGCCAAGUGUGACUGAAUGUGCAGGUGCAAUAGUAGAAGGGCUCGGAGGAUUGGGAAUGGGUCGCAAUGCUGGGGGGAGAUCAUCAUCAAGGUGCUUAUUAUCCUCGUGCUAUUAAGUUGCUCGUAACAACACAUACUGAUCACCGAAAGGCCCAGGCUGAUGAGCAAUCAUCCUCAUAUGUUUCAUAAUAUUUAAACCUUGUGGUGUCAUGUCCCCAACCAAAGUAAGAGUACCAAUCUGCUUGGGAGUCUCGAGGAGACCAAAGUGACAAGUCAAGAGUGUGAUAUCUAGACCCAUACAAAGAGGUCCUCUCCGUGACCGCUCACUCUGAUUAUGAAAACACUGGGCUACAAAGUGGGCUAGAUCAAUCAGAUGUUGUCCGUGCAUACUCUAUAAGAAAUAUGCAUUUAAAAUGCCCACGAUGCUUUUAACGGCCUGUUUUCAGUGGUGUUGAAAAUAGUGGUUUUGUGUCCAUAAUUCUGAUUAGUGAAUUAUUAAUUUAUUAUUUAUUUAAUGUCUAUGGGAUUAUAUUAAGGUCUUAUUAAUUUUUUUUAAGAAAUUUUGAUGUUUAAAUGGUUAAUUAGGUGAAAAUGAUUAAAUCGUGAAAAGUGUAAAAGUUGAGUUGUAUUAGUUAAAGUGGUCUAAUGGCUAUGAAAUCAUAAACUAAAGGACUUGAUUGGUAAAUAUACCGUUUAAAGUGUUAGUGGAUGUGCAUGGACAAGGUUUUAAUGAAAUUUUGAUAGUUUUUAAAGGUUAAAAUGGCAAUUGAAUAAUUAACUUUAAAACAAAAGAAACUAAAAAUGGUAUCAUCAUCAUCCUUGGCUAUCUCCACCAAAAUUUGAAGAGGAAAACACCAUUAGAAUAGGGUUGAGCAUUCGAUCAAGUUUCUACUUGUAUGUAAGUGAAUUCAAGCUCCUUUUUUUUAAUGAUUUUUAUGUUUUCGAGUUCAUUUUAGCUUAAUCUAGCUAGCCCGGAGGUUAAUUUGCAAAACCGUUAAAGGUUGAAGGACUUUUCAUGGAUAUUUUUUAAUGUGUUUUGACGUUUUUUGAUGUAUUAUUUAUCUUUUGUAACACCCCUUACCCGUAUCCGUCGCCGGAACAGGGUACGAGGUAUUAACAAAUUAUAGUAUAUACUAUUAAAUAAAACCCAACAAAAAUAUGGCGUGCAAUUUGAUCAUGGAUCAUUAUAACAUAUGCCAUUAACAAUACAAACCAACUUCAAAGGCUUCGUACAAAAUGAUUAGUUUGAUACUAUAAGUAGUAAUUUAAACCUAGACAAUUAUGACACGUAACAAAAUAACUAAGUCUGCUAUACAUGCCAUAUUUCAAAAUGUUGAGUUCAGAUACCAAGAGUAUUGAUAGUGCGGGCGGAUCUUCUAUGAUCUCUGAUUCCUGUACUCGCUGGAUGACACUAUAAGACAAAUGAGAGAAAAGAAAGUAAGCUUAUAGCUUAGUAAGUAAGUAAAUAAAUAACAAAUAAGGAAUCUAAUAUGUUUACAACAUAACUCAAUUAUAUCAUAUUUUUAAUCUUACUGUUUACUCCAAUUUGAUCAAGCUGUCCCUCCUGCGUCAUGAUCACUAAAUAAAUCAUAACUUGAGUUACGAAACUCGAAAUCCAAAUCCGUAAAAUUUCCCUGAAUCUAGACUCAUAAAAAUUCUUACAAAUUUUUUUCUAGAAUUUUUGGUUCAGCCAAUUAGUACAGUUUAUUAGUUAAAGUUUCCCCUGUUACACAGCUCAACUGAUCUGACCUCUGUUCAUUACGAAUUGAAUUUCUCUUAGUACACAAUUCAAAUAACCAUGAAACCUGUUUCAUUUAAAAAUAUACUCAAUAAGAAAUUUAUUCAUAUAAACUAUAUUUCUUAAUUUGUUUUGUAUAAUUUUUAAUGAUUUUUCAAAGUUGAAACAGGGGAUCACAUAGUCAUCCUGAACAAGUCUCACACAAUUGUAAAUAUCUCAAAAUAUAGAAUUCCUUUGCUUGCUCUGUUUCUUUUAUAUGAAAAUAGACUCAUUAAGCUUUAAUUUCACAUCUCAUUCAACCUCUAAUUAAAUUCCUUAUAUUUUUGGUGAAUUUUCAAAAUCACGUCACUGCUACUGUCCAAAACAGUUUUAAUGCUAAUUUCACUCUUUCACACAUUCUUUAUACUAACCUCAUUUUAACUUACAUAUAUAUAUAUAUAUACCACAAAUCAUUUUCACCACAUUUCAUGCAUCACAAGUGUAGGUCCAUGACUACAAUGUCACCACAAAACCAUCCCGUUGAACAAUUCGGAUUAAUCCUCGAUACUUGAUGGUUUCAGCACACAGCUCCACCAUCAUAUUUCAUUUAAUUCGACUCUCUUGUACACAUGGUGAACACUUAGUACGACUCAUGCGACCUAGCUGAUUUGUCUCAUAGCUCUCUUGUCUACAUGGUGUCCUUCACUUGGAAUCACGCAUGCGACCUAGCUACAUUUAUCUCUCACGUAGCUCUCUUGUCUACAUGGGAUACAUCCCGUAUCACACAUGUGACCUAGCUACUAUAUAGUAUCUCGUAGCCUUCUUGUACACAUGAUGUGCACUAGGCACCAUACAUGUGACCUAGCUACGCUCCCUCUAUUUUAUUCGAUUUUUCCGAAUGUUCAACCGGGAUCUCUCUCUCUAUUACUUAUUUCCAUUCUUCCAAUAGUCGAUUUAUACUUCAACAUCAGCUAAUAUAUAUAAUAGGCUGAAAUAUAAGAAUGUAAAUGAAAUUAAUGUAUUAUUUACAUACAAACUUACCUCGGUGCAAAAUAUGGGAAUUUUGCAAUUUAGUCCAAAACUUUCUCCUUCCCCCGUUCGAGGUCGAUUCCACGCCUUUCUUGAUCUAUAACAACAUAUUUAGCUCAUUUAACACUUGAACUAUUUAUUUUAAUCCAAAAAUCACAUUAUACAAAAAUUACAUUUUUGCCCCCUAACUUUUACAAAAUUACGAUUUUUCCCCAAGGCUCGGAAAUUUAAUUUCAGCCCUUAUUCUUAUGUUUAAUGACCUACUGAUCAUUUUUCUCUUCUCUGGCAACAUCAAAUUCUCACUCUAACACAUAGUUAUGAACAAUAGGUAUUUUUAUCGAUUAUGCCGUUUUGCUCGUUUUCGUUAAAAAUCGCUUAGAAAAGAUCGUUCUCCUAACUUCAAACAUUCAUAUUCUACCAUCAAACAACAAAAUACAUGCCUUUAAUUCAUGGGUAAAUUUUUAAACAUAAACCCUAACUCAAACUAAUGGUAGAAAUAAGUAAACCGAGCUACGAGGAUUUCAAAAAUGUGAAGAACAUUAAAAACGGGGCUUGAAAUCACUUACUAUGAAGCUUGAAAGUUGAAGAAACCCUAGCUAUGGAGGAGAGCAAUUUUCGGCAGCAACUAAUGAAGAUGAUAACCAAUUUUGUGUUAUUUUUCCCAUUUUAUUUCAUUUAAUAUACAAAUGACCAAAAUACCCUUACUACUAAACUUUCAAAAAAAUUCCCUCCAUGUCCAACUUUUGUCCAUAACUUAAGAAUGGGUCAAAUUUCUAUUUAAGACCUCCUAGUAAAUAUCCCAAAGCAAUUUCAUACUAAAAACUUCUAAAACACGAGUUUUACAAUUUAUUCGAUUUAGUCUCUAAUCUCAACUUAAGCGCGAAAUGCACAGAAUUUCAUCAUGAAACUUUCACGAAAUCAUGAAAUCAUAUCAUAAACCCCAAAAUAAUUAUAAAACAAUUAUUUCUAUCUCAGAUUUGUGGUCACAAAACCACUAUUUCGAUUAGGCCCUAAUUCAGGUUGUCACAUCUUUGUUGUAAAAUAGACAUGUUUUGUUAAGUGAUUUUUGUUGAAUUUUGGAAAUAUGGAUUAAAUUAUUAAAAGUAUAAAUCCGUGGGUUUUGUUGUGAAAUUUUGGUAAUAAUGGGUUGUUUCAAGGUCCUUUUGAACAUUGGUUAAGUUGGCUUUAGGUUAAAAUGGUUAGAUUUUAAGUUAUGAGCUUGAGGACUAAAUUGUAAAAAGUCAAAGUAUUAGGGACAAAUUUGUUAUUUUUUUAUAAAUAUGAAUUAUGGAUUAAAUUUAAUUCUACUUGAUUGAAUGAAAUUAUUUAUUUAGAUCAAGAUAAACCAUAAUCGGACUUAAAUCGUGGAAAAGCUAAAGUUUCGGAUUAGUGUUUGAUUCUACUUUUACGCCCUAGUUAUUAAGGUAAGUUCGCAUGAACUAUGAUCGUUUUAAUGUUAGUUAAAUUGACUAUUUGCUGUGUUGUUUUAAUAUAAAUGAAUCUAUGUAUAAAUGUAUCUAAGCUAUGAUGAAUUAACGGAUAACGAGUCCCAUUUGAACCUUAAGAAUUCUUAGGAUACAAAUGACAUGUCAUUAGGGAUUUCAUGUUUCGGGUGUUGGUCUUAAAUGUCCUACCGAUGGUUGAGGUCCUGCAUUUGUUGCAGAUUCUCCACAGCUCGUGUGAGCAAUAUCAUGUAGCUAACAUUCCGACCCACAACUCAUGUGAGCAGGUGUGAGCAUUAAUGUAAAGGAAAUGUUACUAUUAUAUGGAAAGGCACACUACGAGUGAACAUUCCCGAGUAGCUGAUGUAAUUCUAGAUGGUUCAAUGGGUAAGAAAAGGAAAUGAAAUGGUAAGUAUGCAAAUGGAAUGAAUCUUGAUCUUAUAAUGACAUUGAUGAGUUAAAUGAUAUGUUUAUAUAUGGUAAACUACAUAUCUUAUGGUUGAUUUCAUUUGUAUCAUGAACAAGUGUACUAACUUGUUAGUUUGAUGAUGUUGUAUAGGCUUUUACUAAGCUUAUGGCAUUGGUAAUGAUUUAUGCUUAAUCUAUGAAUUGUAUAAAUAAAAUGGUAAGUUAUGUUAAGUUUUUACAAUCUUACUAAGCACUCAUUGCUUACAUAGUUACUUUCCUUUGUUUUAUAGAUUAUAGGAAGCUCGAUCAGUUGGAAGUUCGUCGAAGACCUAUCACACUAUCCAACAAUCAUUUUAGUAUAUUUUUUUUUGUAUAUUUUGGCCAAGGUUAAUAAUGGCAUGUAUAGGAUCUUUGUAAUGUAAGUUUUGGUAAGUUUAAGCUUUUGCAGUUAUGCUGGUUUGGUGCACUUUUGAUGUCUUACCAAGUUAUGUCAUAUUAGUUACUUUUAAGUGCUUGUAAAUAAGGUUCUUUUGGUAUUUUUUGAUGGCUUGCAAAUGGUCAUAUGUGGUAGUUAAUUAAACUAGGUUAUUAUGGCUGGGAAUAUACAACAUUGACUUAUUUUGGUAAGUGAUAUUUUGCUAUAUUUGUGGUGCCUUUGAAUGGCAUAUUGGGUUAGAUGAAUUAGGGUGUUUGAAAAGGCAUGUUUUUGUGUAUUUGAAUGAAGUUUAAAUUCCUUGAAUGUAUGCCUAAAUGGUCUGAAUGGUUAGGUAUGAAUUGGACUUGAAAUGACUUGAUUUUAGGUUAAAUUUUGGUUUCACAUGGCUUGGGACACAAGCUGUCACAUGGUCGUGUGACACAUAACCUGGUAACAUGGACGUGUGCCAUUUGAAAUUUCUUAGUGAUUCAAGUCAGUGAGUUACACGACCUGACACACAGGUGUGUGUGGCAACUCAGAGAGUUAUACGGCUGUGUAACACUUCUCAGUGAGUUACACGGGUAAGGACACGUGCUGGGACACGGUCGUGUUCCCCUUGUUCGAAUAUUACACGACCUGGCCAUACGACCGUGUGGCCCCUGUUUUCACAUUUUUGCAUCGUUUUCUUAAAACUUCUAUUUUGUUUUGAUUUAGUUCUGAAUUGCUUCUAAGCUAUUUUUAAAGCCUCGAAGGCUAGAUUUAGGGACAAAAUGCAAAUGAAUGAUUGGUUUACAAUAAAUUUAAUUUGUUUUAUGUUAUAAUGUUAAAUGAUUUCUAGUUGAAAGAUAAUGCUCUGUAACCCUAAUCUAGAGGCGGAGACGAGUUAAGGGUGUUACAACGCUUGUACUCUUCUUUCGUCUAGUUAAAAUAUGAACUAGAAUGGCAUGAAUAUAUUACAAUGUUGGAGGGAGGUACUGAGCCUUAGACUGGCUCGGGUUGCACGAAAUGGCAACCUCAGAGAUUUUCGACCAACAUAGAGAGACCGAAUAAUGGAUGUGUUGUGGGAGGGAUGAGAGCUCGGUCACUGCUAAGAAAUCAUUAGAAUAUAGGUUGAGAGUGACACCAAAGCCUGCAUUACUAAAGUGUUGAGCGAUACCCCCAAGACGGAAUGAUAUAGCCCGUGGGUCAUCCCCCAACGAUAGUACAGUUGGUAGGAAGAAUGUGGAGAAAAACUCGAAUGUAAGCUCAACAUAUGUAGACUCGACGAUCGUGAAGAAUCACUCCCAUGGGAUUGCGAUUAAAAGAGAAUGAAUCAGUGCGAAUAAGCUCAUAAUUUGGAAGGUGUCCCAAUCUACACGCCGGCCCAUGCCCAAUGCUCUAUCCUUAAUAUUCUGGUACCUCUCCUCAUGGGGUGGAUGGUCAAAGGUGAGGUAUUUGUAACGAGUGGUUGUGAUCGGAGAGGAUGAAGAUGAGGUCUAAGUGGCUUUUCUUUUCUUAGAAUGAGUGUGGACCCUAUUUUUUCCUUGUAGUUUUUGCAUUUUGUACCUGAAAUAAAAUAUAAUAACCAAAUAUCAGAGAACCAAAAAUCAAAACCACAAAAAAUGAAUCUAGCAAAUAGACAAAUCGACAUAUGAAAUAAAACACAUUGGCAAGAGAACCACCUCACGAUGAAAGUCGAAUCACAACGAGUCUAACCAAAAUCUACUUCGAAUACAAAACUAGAGCUAAUACUAAUACUAUCGAGGCAAAAAUAAAUAAAUUAAACUAACCAACUAAAACUAAUAAUAUUAGAAUAAUAAAAUAAUAAAAUAAUGACAAGAAUACUAAUACUAAACAAAAUAAACAUAUUAAUAAUAAGAGUAAUAAUAAUUAAAAUAAUAAGAAAAUAAAUAAAAACAAAAAUAAUAAAAAAUAAAAUAAAAUAAAAUAAAAUGAAAGAAUAGGGUUGAGCCAAAUGGUGGUAACGGUGGUUGUUGGCGGCGAUGGUGAAUGGAGGCGCAAGUGAGGAUGUGUGAGAGGACUGAUGGAGGUGGUGCGCAGGUGAAAAAGGUUAGAACGGAAGGAAAAAAACAGACGAUAGAGGAAAUGGCAUGAUCGACGGUAGGGGAAGGAAAGGGAAAGGGAAAAGUGCGGGGAAGGAAUGGAAACGACACGAUCGACGGUAGAGGACAUGUGUCCAGCCAAUAUGGAAUGGCCCGGCUUGUGUGGCUCUUAAAGAUUCCUCCAAUUUUUCGAUUUUCGCUCUUUUUUCUUCCAAAUGUUCUCCUAAAUAUAGAAACAUGAAUUUAAAGGAUUAGGGGCAUAAAAUUCACCAUUUUAAAUCGAAUAAUCAUCCAAAAAUGCUUUAAGAAUGAGGCUAAAACAUUUACUUUUGGCAUUUACCAAUAAGAAAUGGGUUGGUUUGAAAAUAAAUGGAUUGCUUGUCGUAGAAUAUUAUUCUCGGCAGAAAUUAAAAUAUAAAAUUUUAAAAAUUAUAUUUAAUACAAUAAAACAUUUAUUAUAUUUAUGGUAGUAUUUUUUAAUGUGGUAUGGAACUCUUAGUUGAUGAAACUUGUUUAGUGGUAGAUUAAAUAGACUAUUAGAUUAUUAAUUCUGAAGCCAUUAGUCAUAUUUGUGUUUAUUGCAGGGGUUCAAGUAAAUGAGAAGCCUUCGUGAGAAGGAUCUCUCAUUGCAACUAGAGAUGCGUGAAGAAAUGUAGCGGCAAAAGUAGUGGGAAAAGUACAUUUGUAUUUUGAUAAUUUUAGGAAAAUCAUUUUAAAAAACAUACUUUAUGUACCUAGUUUUAGGAGAAAUUUAAUUUCUGUUGCAUGUUUAUUUCAAGACAAAUUUUUUGUGACUUUUAAUAAAGGGAUUGCAAUUCAUAAAAAUUAUGUUCUUAUAUGUAAUGGAUGGAUGCAAAAUAAUAUUUAUUUUAUUAAACUAAAGAGCUACUCACUGUUUGAAACCAAACUCGUGAAUAAGAAACUUAAAACUUCUCACUCUAAUACUUAUGAUAUUUACGACUUAGUCACGUUAAACAAGAAAGAAUGUAAUACCCCUAACCCGUAUCCGCUGCCAGAACAGGGUUUCGGAGCAUUACUAUCAUUUACAGAUCACUAAAAAAAUUUAAAUACUUAUCGAUUCAAUGCAUCAUAUAAAUAAAUAUAUUAUCAUUCAAUCAACAGUUUGACACUUGUAUAAGCAUCAAACAGCAACAUUGUUAGUAUACUUGCACAUAUCUCAUAUAAAUUCAACAUUGAUAUAUCUAUUUUCUCGACAUAUCGCACUUGAGUUUAAUAAUAGUCUCAACUUACAUAAUUUCCUUGUAUCAACAUAUCAAAGAUAAUCAUAUAUGUACAUGUCAUGAAACAUAUCAUGCUCUUACCGUUUCUUCAUAAGCAUAUAUCAUUCAUUUCAUUAUAUCAAUAUUUCAUGCUCCAUCAUUUCUAUAUAUUUUAUGUAUAUUUAUUCCGGUAAUAGCUUAUAUCAAACUUAACAUAAAUUAUAUUCCAUGUACUUAUACUUAUUUCGUUUAUCUAUCUUCAUAAUUAUUUCAUAUAACCAUUCGUCAUCUGAUACAUAUUACCUGAAUAUCAAUUGUUCAACAGAUGUUAGAGCGUCUCCCAUCCACGGUCUUAUUUAUCUUUGACAUGAUGCCAUAGUGUCUUUCAACUAUGGUCUUACUCAUUUUCUGUCAUGUUGCCAUGGUAUCUUUCAACCAUGGUCUUGUUCAUUUCAUAUCACGUUGCCAUGGUAUCUUUCAACCAUGGUCUUACACAUUUCAUAUCAGGUUGCCAUGGUAUCUUUCAACCAUGGUCUUACACAUUUCAUAUCAGGCUGCCAUGGUAUCUUUCAACCAUGGUCUUACACAUUUCAUAUCAGGUUGCCAUGGUAUCUUUCAACCAUGGUCUUACACAUUUCAUAUCAGAGAGCACACUCCCGCGAACCUCAUCCUUACAGUGGGAUUACCAGUCCAGGCUAAAUCCCCUGUAACAUAAACUCAUAGAGUAUUGUCGGGAUUACCAGUCCAGGCUAAAUCCUCUGCAACGACAAUUACUCUAAUGAGCUUAGAUCUGAAUUACCAGUCCAGGCUAAAUUCAGACCCUAAUUCGGAUUACCCGUCCGGGCUAAAUCCAUUUUACACGUAUUCUUCGGGAGGGCUAUAUCAGAAUAGGAUCACCGGUCCGGGCUAGAUCCUUUUUACCGUCAAUUCCUUUUCAGAGAUCCAUCGAAUUUUCCUUUCAUUCAACUGGGAUUUAUUUUCAAUUUAUAUCGAGAAUUAUCAAUAUUUCAUCAAAUAUCAUGAAUUGAACAUUCAAAUCAUAUUUUCAUCACAUAACCACAUAUUUCAAGUAUUUAAAAUACAAUUCAAGUUACACAAACUUACCUCAUUGCUUGUUUGUGUUUAUAAUUUCAUUAAUCCGAUAUCUUUUCUUUUCUACGAUCAAGUCUCAUAUUUGAGUCGUCCGGAUCUUUAUAAAUAAAUUUGAUCAUCAUUUUCAUUCAUUUCAUCUUCUAAUGCAUUUAAUUAAUGCUCUAGGCAAAAUUACCAUUUUGCCCCUAAACUUUUAAUUAAUGACGAUUUCGUCCUUAGGGUCAGGAAAAUAAAAUUCUUGCAAUUUAAUCCUUAUUUCCAGCUAUUAUUCUCAUAUAUAUUGAUAACAGUCCAUGAAUUCUAUAAAAUAUCAGAAUUUUCCAUAAUUUCAACACUUUUCAAUUUAAUCCCUAAAACAUGUUUUCCCCCGAUCUUGAACUAAAUUAAUAAUUUCAUUCAAUUUUGUAAUUUAAAUAAUAAAAUAAUCCAUUUCAUGCAAUUUGGUCAUUUAUGACAUUUUUACAAAAUUUCCCAUAAAGUUUUACUUUUAUUCAAUUUAGUCCCUAAGCCUAAAAUAUGCAAAUUAGCCAUGCUUAAUGAAUAUUCAUAUAUGUUUUCCUCCUCCUCCUCUCCAUUCCACAUCCUUGAUGUAUGUAGCACACUUGUAAGUAACAUUAUCUAUAAUCUUUAUUAUUUACUUUUAUGAAUAUUCAAGCUGUCCAUCUGUGUCAUGGUCACUAAAUUAUUUAUAUCUGGAGCUAUAGGACUCCAAAUUAAUAUCCGUUAAUUUUCCCUGAAACUAGACUCAUAUAUAUUCUUACCAUAAAAUUUUAAGAAUUUUUGGUUUAGUAAAUAAGUACAGUUUAUUCUUUAAAGUUACCCCUAUUCUGCUGUCUGACAGUUGUGACCCUUCUUCACUAAAAAUUAAUUAUCUCCUUGUACAGAAUUCGAAUGAUGUUCAUAUUUGUUUCUAUUGAAAAUAGACUCAUUCAUGAUUCUAAAAAUUUAAAUUUAAGCCUCUAAUUAUUUUAUCCAAUUUUUUUAUGAUUUUACAAAUUCAGAACAGGGGAACCCGAAAUCAUUCUGACCUUGUCUCACAAAAUUCAUAAUAUCUCAUUAUUUAGAAUUCCAUUGCUUACAUAAUUUCUUCUAUAAGAAACUAGACUUAAUAAGAUUUAAUUUCAUAUUUUAUUCAUCCUAUAAUUAGAUUUCUACAUUUUUUUAUGAUUUUUCAAAGUUAGACUACUGCUGCUGUCCAAAACUGUUUUAGUACAAGAUAUUAAUUACCAUGUUAUAACAUCCUUAUUUUCUUUUUCUACACCAUUUCUCAUCACUUUCUCUUAUUUUUUCUUCACUAACAUAUCAAGAACAUAGGACCUUAUGUAAGAAAACUCUACUAUAACAUUAUUUCCAUGCUUUAUCAAUAAUAACAAACUUAGAAACAUAUUGAAAUCUUGAUGUACUUACCUUUUCUUAUCGACUUCAAUCUUUAACUUGAUUUUUCUCUCUCCUCCAGCUUCGAUUUCUUGAAUCCGACUUGAUAUUCUUGCUCCCCAUCAUCUCCUUGCUAUCUUUCUCUCUUGAUGGCUAUGGAAAUUCUUUCAAUUUUUAGGUGAAAAUAAUGAAUUUUUGGUGGAACGACUAAAUUGUAAAGAAAGCAAACUUCUUUUCUUCUUCUUAUCUUACGUUAGUUUGCAUGGGAAAGGAAAUGUGUUGAUAAUUCUUCAUCUUUCCUUCCUUUUAUACUAAAUAAAUAAUAAUAUAAUAAUAAACAUCUCAUAAAAUAUUAAUAAAAUAAUAUUUAUCUAAUUAAUUAAUUUAAAAUAUCAUCAACAUAAUCAUUACAUUCUAGAAUUCUCUCUCUUACUAAUUGACCAUUUUGCCCUUCAUGAUCUUUUAGAAUUCCAUCCUUGAGUCAUCACUUAAUUUGGUAAAAUUGCGAUUUAGUCCCUAAUAAUUUUUUACCUAUUCAAUUUGGUCCUAAUUCAUCAAUUUUUCUUGGUUUCUAGAUCAUUCCACCCUUAAAAUAUUGUCACCAUUAGUCCUUCAACUUUUUUAUAUUUACACUUCAACCCCUUAAUUUUUUAGUAUUUACUCUUGUGCAACAAGACUUUUCUCAUCUUUACAAUUUAGUCCUUUCUUGAAUUAAUAUAUCAUAAUAUACUUUUCAAUAUUGACAUCACUCAAAAAUUCCCUUUUUGUCACUUUAUUUCCUUAUUUUACUAUAUCACGGAUAAUAUAUUACUGUAAAAAUUUUCGGGGUAUUACAAAGAAUGAAUAAACUUUUUAAAUAUGGGACUUUAAGCUCACUUAAAGAGGUACAUCUUCCACAAUGUAAAUCUUGCCUUGAAAGGUAAAAUGACAAAGCAAUCUCCUCAUGCAAAAGGUACAAGGGCUGUUCAAUCAUUAAAACUUGUGAAUACUGGCGUAUGAGAUCCCAUGAACGUUAGUGUGAGAUUUGGUUACAAUUAUUAUGUAAACUUUAUAAACAUUUAUUCCAGAUACUAGUCUGUGUACCUAAUGCACCACAAGAGUGAAACUUUUAAAAAGUUUCAAGAGUUUAGUGUGAAAGUGGAGAAACAAUUAGGUUUACCUAUUAAGAAACUUCAGUUUGACCAACGCGGGGAAUACUUAUGGGACGAGUUUAUAGGAUACCUCAUAGAGAAUGAGAUACAAUUCUAAUAAAUUGUGCGAGGUACUCUACAAUAGAAUGGCGUGGCAGAAAGAUGGAACAAAACCUUACAGAUAGAAUUGUGCAUGUUUGUUGGUUGUCCAAAACGAACUAAGGGUGGAUUAUUUUAUAACCCAAAAGACCAAACAGUUAAGGUUUAGACUUAUGCUACUUUCCUUGGGGAAAUCUAUAUUAAAAAUUUUAAACCUUGAAGUAGAUUGUAACUUCAUAAAAUUUCAGGAAAAUGAGCUUAUUUUUUAGUAACUUGUAAGUCAUUUUACGUGAAACAAACGCAUCUGAAGGAAAAUGAAUAAGAGGAUAAUAAUUUUAUAAACAAUGAUCUAAAAAUUUUACUCAUACCAUGUGUCGAAACUAUUUUUAAAUCGAGUUUUGGAAAAUGGGAAUCGACUUUAAAAAUGAAAACGGGAGUCGCCGCCAAUCUUUUUAGGUGUGAUUGGAUCACCUUUAAAACAUUUGUUUUAAAAUCGUUGGUUUUGGUCUACGAAAUCAAAAGAAUGGGUUCGGGAGUCGGUUACGUACGAGGAAGGGUUGGCACCCUCGUAACGCCCAAAAAUUGGUACCUAAUUGAUUAUCAAAAUGUCUCUAAUGUCGGAAAUUAAAAAUUUUAAGAUGUAAUCCUCUUUAAAGUAUUUGAAAAUUUGGGUUUACUUGUAUCAAAGUAUUGACUAUAAGUUAGCCUUUUAGAAACCUCUAUCUCAAAAUAGCAAAAUGUUACAUUCAGUAAGUUAGGACAUAUCACUUUACAAUUCCAAGACAGUCACUUAUAUUUUGAAAUCCUUUAAGAACUUUAGAAUGGUACUUGACUAUUCGAACUUAACGAGAAAAGUUGCAACCCAAUAAGUUAGGGCACUACUUCUUCGAAAUUUUCAAACACCAAGCAUUGCCUUUAUAUUUUUUGAAAAUUUUGGAGCCUUGUCUUUUUAAAGAUGAUGUGUGGAGAAUUGUAUUAAAUCAUAAUGAUAUAUUAUUGUACUAGGUAGAUAAAAAAUGAAUACUACGAUAUAAAGAAUAAUACAUAUAAAGCAAAAAAAAAUGCAAACAAAGAUAUAUAGCAUGUAUCGAGAACGGAUAAACAAGAUAUAUAAACAUAUGAGAUAAUACUUAAAUGAUGCGUGAUAUAAAAACAAACAUAAUCAAAUAAUGCAUGAUAUACAAAUAGAAUAAAUGUAAUGUCAAUAUGCAUAUAAUUAUAAUAAAAAAUUUAACACAUACAUGAUACAUACAAUACAAAACAUAUAGAAGAACUAAUAAAAAAAAUGAUUGAUUGCUAACAAAAUAUACAUGCAAUUAAAAACAAGACAUUUCAUAUCAAUAGUAUUUAAUAUAUAAUAUAAUAACAUAGUAACAAGAAUAAAAGAAUAAUAAUUAUAUAACAAUAUAUUGGUUUGAAAGCAUGUAAGAGAUUUCAUAAUAUAACAAUAUUAGUUUAAAAUGAAAUAAUAUAUGUAUAGUAAAUAAAUAAAAAAAUGAAAUGUGUAUAUAAUGUGAGUUAAAAAUAUGAUUUAAUAAUAAUAAUUUACAUUUUUAAAAUAAUAUAUAUAAAACAAUCUAAUUUGCGAUACAUAAUAUACAUAACAUAUAUAUAUAAAAUAAUAUAAAAAUGAAAUAUAAUAAAGAUUAUAUAAUAAAAUGUAAUAUGAACAUAUAAGAAAAAAAAUAGAUAUAAUAUGAAGUAACAAUAUAUAUAAGUAAUUAAUAAAUAUAAUAUAUGAAAAUAUAAUAAUAUAUAUAAGAGAUGUAAAAUAAUAAUUUAAGAAAAAUAAUAUAUAAUAAGUAAUAAUAAUAUAUAAUUAAAAAUAAUACUUAUAAUAAAAUAAUUUUAUAAUAUAUAAUAUAAAAGUAAAAUUAGAAAUAAACGAAUAAUAAAAUAUAUAUGGAAUAAUAUAAUAAAUAUAGGACUAAAUUUAAAGUUUAACAAAAUUAUGGGGCGAAUUUUGAAAGGAAUAAAACUGAAUUAAGGACCUAUUUAAAACGCGCGCAAAAUUAAAGGGACUCACUGGGCAAAUUGCCCCUUUUCCCAAAACGUCACCGUUUCCCCUAAUACAAUUGUAAAUCAUUGGGAGGGUCGAAUUGAAAUAGAAUUAAAAUAUUAAUACCAAAUUAAAAAAAUAAAAAAAUGAAAUUAGAAGUAUAAAAAAUUGCGAGAGGACCAAUUGGGUAAUUAACCCAAUUCUCAAAAAUGGGCGGAUCCUCCCCGGGUAAUUGGGUCAACGCGCGGAUCCUAUAGUUGUAAAAUGACACCGUUUUAAAUAGACUAUAUAAAUCAAACUUCGCCCCCAAAAUCAUUUUAACAUCCGUUUUCAAAAAAAAAAAGAAAAAAUCCUCUGGAAGAGGAUUUGGGGGCCGAUCCCGGAGCUGCUGAGCCUCCGUCCAGGGGUCUCCUCACGCGCUCACGCGCCGCCCUGUACGGUGGUCUGAGGGUUAAAAUCCUCGUCCUUCCACAGGUAAUCUCUUCCCCUUUUUAAAAAUUACUAUUUUUUGCUAAAAUGAUGUACAUACAUGCAUAUGCUCUAAAAUGAAAAAAACACACAGUUAAAUCACCUUUUCUUUGAAACUGCUUGUAUUCUCUUUUUUUAUUUCUGUAUGCAUGUGUGUGUAAUCGUUACAAGAGUUACAAAGGCUUUUUAUAGCCUACGGAUUUGUUACAUAAGGAAAGAAAUCUCUGAUUUCUAUUGUAUCUUUGACUGAUGUGCUGCGAUUUCCUUGCCAUUUUCUACUCUGCUUUUUCGCGUAUCUGCUGUUUGUUUCCUUUUCUUGUAGGCAAUUGAGCGAGGGAUCCGGCAAUGACCAUGCUGGUGUAGACGCGUGCACUAAUCACGGUGCUGAUGGAGGGUUACUGAAACAUCGUGGGAGACGAGCAGACGCAUCCGUUGAAAUUGCUUCUGGAAGCUUCUACUUGCGACGCGAGGAGAAAGGCAGAAACCCUAGGGUUUGCUGCCUUGGUGUAACAAGCUGGGCCAAUUGGGCUUUUUGAAUUUGGGCUAGCUAGUUUUAAUUGGGUCACGGGUGUUUGUGGGUCUGCUGGGUAGUUUGGGCCUGAUUAGGUUACAAGUGUAACGGGCUUUGGGCUCACUAGGCUUUGAGGCCUGUUUAUUUGUAAAUAGACUUUAAUGGACAUUUUUUAAAUAAAUAUUUAUUCAUAUUCUGCUUUCAGCCCGGUUAAAUUUGGGCUUUUACACCAUGAUUUUGAUUUAUUUUAUUAGUGAUUUUCAUUUUCUAUUUUCCUUUUUUUAGCGACUCUUUAGAUAAUUGAGACCAUUAAAAAUAAAUCAUAAUAACUAAAAUUAAAAAUUUAAUAUUAUAAAAAAAACCCAUAUAUUUUAGUUUAAAUUUUAAAAUUAAAUUGUUCACAGAUUAAGCUAUUUCUCCGCUUAGUAGGCACGUUUUAAAUUUUUUUACCACAAAUUAUCUCUCUCAAAAAUAGUAAACCUAACAACAUCCUUUUACCAAAUUUACACAUUUACACGUUUUGUUCAACACUCUCGGCAAUUACCAAUCCAACUGUUAUAAAUUAGGCCAAAGUUCAUUGGAAAAAACACACCAUCACAAAUUAACAGUAUUAGCCGCCUAGCUAGCUAACUUUUAUUUUAAAAAAAACAUGAAGAGGUUUUCCCUUAUUGUUUUGUGCGUGGUGACUCUAGUGAUGGUGUUGUUUUCAGGUGCAGAGGCAGCGCCAGUGCCGAAAUGUGAUAACCCCUUAGAGUAUAGCUCAUGCUUGAAUGCGUACAAGAAGCCACCUCCAUCAGCCGGUUGUUGCCAGAAGAUGAAGGAACAAGCACCAUGCUAUUGCAAGUACAUGAAGAUAGAAGAUGUCAAACGUGUUUUUGACAGAGUUGAGAUUGCGAAAAUGGCUAAAUUGUGUGGAGUUUCAUAUUCUUCCACCUGCUAGAAUCCCGUUUGGUUUCAUUUGACUAUCUCUGGAUGAGAUAACCUGACAUCUCAAUAAAUGAAAAUUUUAUUUGAAAACUAUUUUUUUACCCAUAAUUUCGACUAUAAUGUACUUGUGUUCUUUUUUUUUUUUGGAAUAAUA